rnacentral:rRNA from 1 species
AACGCAGCGAAGGGCGAUAAGUAAUGUGAAUUGCAGAAUUCAGUGAAUCAUCGAAUCUUUGAGCGCACAUUGCGCCCCUUGGUAUUCCGAGGGGCAUGCCCGUUCGAGCGUCAUUAUAACCCCUCAAGCCUAGCUUGGUGUUGGGGCCUGCUGUUACCAGCAGCCCUUAAAAUCAGUGGCGGUGCCGUCUGGCUCUAAGCGUAGUAAUACUUCUCGCUACAGGGUCCCGGUGGAUGCUUGCCAUCAACCCCUAAUUUUCUAUGGUUGACCUCGGAUCGGGUAGGGAUACCCGCUGAACUUAA